CAGCCGCCGCGGGAAUACGAAGGGGGCUAGCGUUGCUCGGAAUUACUGGGCGUAAAGGGAGCGUAGGCGGAUCGUUAAGUUGGGGGUGAAAGCCCGGGGCUCAACCUCGGAACUGCCUUCAAUACUGGCGAUCUUGAGUAUGAGAGAGGUGUGUGGAACUCCGAGUGUAGAGGUGAAAUUCGUAGAUAUUCGGAAGAACACCAGUGGCGAAGGCGACACACUGGCUCAUUACUGACGCUGAGGCUCGAAAGCGUGGGGAGCAAACAGGAUUAGAUACCCGUGUAGUCCCUGUCUCUUAUAC
rnacentral:rRNA from 1 species